AAUAUCAUCAUCAUCAUCAUCAUCCUCGUAGCUGGUCUAACCACCACACAAACCGGUCGCCCGCUUUGCCGCGUACCGGCGCCAUCACCCGGAUCGCCGACGAUCUCCGGCGAAAACGACGGCUCGGGCAUCUAAUCCGCAGCUGCUUUUGUCGCCUUCGCCUGGCGCGCGGCACUCUUCCGACCCCCGCCCGCCUUUCCCGUCGCUAGAUAUAGAGCUGCUCCUUGGUGCGCGUACAGGCCGGGCAGGGCAGUUCAUGGCCUGCCACGCGCGCGGGAAGAAGAUUAAAAACACACGAUCUUGGUCUUCUUUCUUGGUUCCGCGUCAUGGUUGUCGAGGGGAAUGACGCCGGGUCCGAAAGAGAGACGCGCGCAUGGCGUGCGUGUGGCGCGUUUCGGACCAGGCUUCAUUCCCCAUGACUCCAUCAUGGUUCAGGUUCACGGACUCGGUCGGCAUCGGCCGGUGUUCUUGUGAGCUCCGCCUGUGCCUCCCUCCGUGUGGUCUGAAGCACAGCAGACGACCCCCCGCAACUAGCGAAGUAGACUUGCUCUGGUCUGGACAUUGAGCGAGCCGGCUGACCGGCCGACGCACGGACAUGCAUGGAGGCUGUGCAAAGUAAAGCUUGCUUGCUCUGCAACUCAACUGAGCAUCGAUGCAGCUUCAGCGAUACAUGACAACCACCCACUACCAGCUACAUAUCCUCUUAUCUCCUUGGCUAAUUUCAGGCUGAUGAUGAUUGGAAUAGGGAAGGAUAUCUUCAAGAUGCGGUGCGCGCAUGGCAGAUGGGUCGACAUAAAUCAACUCCAGAGCAACUAUGCUUACAGUUACAGCAAAGCAAAGAGAGGAACCACAGUUUGAUCAGGUAGUCCAAGACCACCAAAAGCUAUCAGCCUGUCUUCAGAAUGUAAGCUGGAUCCUGCAAUGUCAGAGCCUGCAUGCUGCAAGUGUCAGAUUUAGGUGCAAACAUUCAGCAUCAAGGCAACUGCAAUCACAAGUUUGUAACACCACGUAAUGGCUGCGGCACCGUUAAAUUAACUCCAGAUGCUGCUUUGAUUUCA